rnacentral:tRNA from 2 species
GGAGCCUUAGCUCAACAGGUAGAGCACCGGUCACCCCGACCGGUCGACGCGAGUUCGACCCUCGCAGGCUUCA